GAUGAAGAACGUAGCGAAAUGCGAUAAGUAAUGUGAAUUGCAGAAUUCAGUGAAUCAUCGAAUCUUUGAACGCACAUUGCGCCCGCCAGUAUUCUGGCGGGCAUGCCUGUUCGAGCGUCAUUACAACCCUCAGGCCCCCGGGCCUGGCGUUGGGGAUCGGCGGAAGCCCCCUGCGGGCACAACGCCGUCCCCCAAAUACAGUGGCGGUCCCGCCGCAGCUUCCAUUGCGUAGUAGCUAACACCUCGCAACUGGAGAGCGGCGCGGCCACGCCGUAAAACACCCAACUUCUGAAUGUUGACCUCGAAUCAGGUAGGAAUACCCGCUGAACUUAAGCAUAUCAACAAGCGGAGGA
rnacentral:misc_RNA from 1 species